GUGGGGAAUAUUGGGCAAUGGGGGCAACCCUGACCCAGCGACGCCGCGUGGGGGAAGACGGCCUUCGGGUUGUAAACCUCUUUUGUACGGGAAGAAGGAAGUGACGGUACUGUACGAAUAAGUCCCGGCUAACUACGUGCCAGCAGCCGCGGUAAUACGUAGGGGACGAGCGUUGUCCGGAAUUACUGGGCGUAAAGGGCGCGCAGGCUGUGCUGCAAGUCAGCUGUUAAAUGUCUGGGCUUAACCCGGGCAUGCGGUUGAGACUGCGGUGCUGGAGUGCUGUAGAGGCAAGUGGAAUUCCCAGUGUAGCGGUGAAAUGCGUUGAUAUUGGGAAGAACACCGGUGGCGAAGGCGACUUGCUGGGCAGCAACUGACGCUGAGGCGCGAAAGCCAGGGGAGCAAACGGGAUUAGAAACCCCGGUAGUCC
rnacentral:rRNA from 1 species